CCCGUCCCAGCGGGUGAGCAGACAAGCCUCUCGGGCUGGAAGCUUGAUGGCAUCCCUUCUGAGAGAAAAAUCAAAUGAUACUAUGUUUUCAGCAUCUGGAAAAGUUAAUGGAAGCUGCAAAUGACAGGUAAAGAA